GGUUUGAUAGUUUACCGGACCGGAAGUUGCAACCACACUUGAGCUCGUUGCCCGACGUAAAAAACGCUGUUUUUUGGCAUAAAACUGGCAGCAGACUCUUGUCACGCCGUUAGAGCAGUUUGAAAAAUGUGCAAUUAGCGUAUCCUUUUUUGUUACAGUGCAAUCUAACUUUGUCCAUUUGCAGGACUGGACUUGGUGUUUCCCGCCUUUUAUUUUACAGUAGUGGAGGACUGCGUUCCCCGUUACCACGAAUACGUUAUGUUUUCGGGGAUCAGGAGAUUGUUGGUUGUCGGUUAUGCCAUGAUCGGAGGCGUUUCGUUGCAAACUACAAAUACGCCAGUUUGCAAUCAUACGCCGGCCCCAGACUAUGCAACAAAAUGCAACGCCACGAACGGCUUCACCUUGCCCAACGGACGGUUUAUCGACCAGUACACGAAAUUUUGCGAUUGCACAGAGAGAGUGUUAAGCGUUCAACAACAAACCUGCCUAGGAACGCUCGAUUUGGCUUUCCUUGAGUGCAAUCCCGACGGCACAUUCAACUGUGUUGUGCACUGGUUUGGGCGGCCCUUUUGUAGCAACAACAGAGGAGGCACAACAAAUCUGACUUAUCCCGAUUGCGGCAUGCAGGAAGCUUUUGCCAGUCAGCAUGCAUUCGCUAUUCGCAAGACGCUAAUCAAUUCCGGAAUGUGGGACAGUGCACGUGCGACUUAGCAAGAAGGCAGCAAAUGGACUCGACUUUGUCCGACAUGGAUAAGUAUGUGCCACAGUGCAACGCAGAUGGAUCCUGGAAGAACAUUCAAACGGGAUACGGAGGAUCGUGGUGUGUCAAUUCCACCGGUGACCCGACCGGGGCUAUAUCGUUCAGCACCUUGUAUCCACCUACGUGUUUGUAGCGACGUUACCCAUGCACUUUCUGGCUUGCGUGGUAUUCGUAUGACACUAAAUAUUUGUUUUCCAAGACUGUGCGUGACUCAUAUUUUUCAAAAAUGUCUUUAGCGGUAUCCUGUACUCGCGCCUACUUGAAGUUCACAUCGAGUAUUACGGACGAGUUUGGUAAAAGAAGUUUUUUUGCGUUAGUACCUGGUUACCU